UACGAAGGGGGCUAGCGUUGCUCGGAAUUACUGGGCGUAAAGGGCGCGUAGGCGGCGCUGCAAGUCAGGCGUGAAAUUCCUGGGCUUAACCUGGGGACUGCGCUUGAGACUGCGGUGCUAGAGGAUGGAAGAGGGUCGUGGAAUUCCCAGUGUAGAGGUGAAAUUCGUAGAUAUUGGGAAGAACACCGGUGGCGAAGGCGGCGACCUGGUCCAUUACUGACGCUGAGGCGCGACAGCGUGGGGAGCAAAC
rnacentral:rRNA from 1 species